UGCAGUCGAGCGGAAGGCCCUUCGGGGUACUCGAGCGGCGAACGGGUGAGUAACACGUGAGCAACCUGCCCCAGGCUUUGGGAUAACCCCGGGAAACCGGGGCUAAUACCGAAUAUGACCUCUGACCGCAUGGUUGGUGGUGGAAAGUUUUUCGGCUUGGGAUGGGCUCGCGGCCUAUCAGCUUGUUGGUGGGGUGAUGGCCUACCAAGGCGACGACGGGUAGCCGGCCUGAGAGGGCGACCGGCCACACUGGGACUGAGACACGGCCCAGACUCCUACGGGAGGCAGCAGUGGGGAAUAUUGCACAAUGGGCGGAAGCCUGAUGCAGCGACGCCGCGUGAGGGAUGACGGCCUUCGGGUUGUAAACCUCUUUCAGCAGGGACGAAGCGUAAGUGACGGUACCUGCAGAAGAAGCGCCGGCCAACUACGUGCCAGCAGCCGCGGUAAGACGUAGGGCGCGAGCGUUGUCCGGAUUUAUUGGGCGUAAAGAGCUCGUAGGCGGCUUGUCGCGUCGACCGUGAAAACUUGGGGCUCAACCCCAAGCCUGCGGUCGAUACGGGCAGGCUAGAGUUCGGUAGGGGAGACUGGAAUUCCUGGUGUAGCGGUGAAAUGCGCAGAUAUCAGGAGGAACACCGGUGGCGAAGGCGGGUCUCUGGGCCGAUACUGACGCUGAGGAGCG
rnacentral:rRNA from 1 species